rnacentral:lncRNA from 1 species
AGCAUUUUGUUUGGGAUUCCAAAUACAACUGGAUUUGAGCAUUUUGUUUGGGAUUCCAAAUACAACUGGAUUUGAGGAGAGAAGAGGAGCCUCACCGACUUCGCAGUUAGCAAUGCUUUGGAGUCUUUCUUUGACAGGGAAAUUAGUAAAGUAAAAAUUAACUCCAGGCAAAACUACUGGAGUGGAACCCAUUCCUUUCUCCAUGGGGAUCUUCCUGACCCAGGGAUUGAACCUAGAUCCUACUGCAUUGCAGGUAGAUUCUUUACAUUCUGAAACACCAAGUAAAAUGAGUAAUACAUUCAUUGAAGAUAGGCCUGGGAGAUUUGGAAGUGUAUAGAUACAAUAUUUAACCCCUGGAACUACACCUUAAAACCCAUGAGUUCUACUGUUCUGAAAUUUAUAAGACAUGCCAGAGACUAUAUGGGCAGGUCUUAGAGUAUAGUGACCUGGAAGGCUCAAAAGACCUUUUCAGGUUUCCUAUCUGGUGAAAACUUGAUGUAAUGACACUAAGAUAUUGACCUCUUUAUCUAUCACUCUUAAAAGUGGAAAGCAGGUGCCCAUGAGAAUCAGCAUGUCUUAAAGAAAUCCAUCAAUUUCUAAUGUAAUCGUGAACUUUAAUAAAGAUGACUAUAUGUGU